UACGUAGGGUGCAAGCGUUAAUCGGAAUUACUGGGCGUAAAGCGUGCGCAGGCGGUGAUGUAAGACAGAUGUGAAAUCCUGGAGCUCAACUCCAGAACUGCCUUUGAUACUGGCGAGCUUGAGUUCGGGAGAGGUGAGUGGAACUGCGAGUGUAGAGGUGAAAUGCGUAGAUAUCGGGAGGAACACCAGUGGCGAAGGCGGCUUCCUGGCCUGUUCUUGACGCUGAGGCGCGAAAGCUAGGGGAGCAAACGGG
rnacentral:rRNA from 1 species